ACGCUCGACACCUACGGGGGGCAGCAGUGGGGAAUAUUGCACAAUGGGGGAAACCCUGAUGCAGCGACGCCGCGUGAAGGAAGAAGUAUUUCGGUAUGUAAACUUCUAUCAGCAGGGAAGAAAAUGACGGUACCUGACUAAGAAGCCCCGGCUAACUACGUGCCAGCAGCCGCGGUAAUCUGAGCGGGCUGGCAAGGC
rnacentral:rRNA from 1 species